rfam:Lachnospiraceae bacterium 2_1_46FAA genomic scaffold aclXT-supercont-complete, whole genome shotgun sequence.
AAAGACACUCGGUAGGUGAGGUUACCAUAGGGAUUUGGUUUUACCUAAGAUUGCUGCCGCAAAAUUGUGGAGACACGAUUAGUUGGUUAGCAGGCUAUGUCGGAACAAGGCAUAACCUAAUGCAAUUUUUACGCCCUAUGAUACUAAAGCUUGAACGAUGUACCAUGUGG